rnacentral:rRNA from 1 species
GACGUAGGGCGCGAGCGUUGUCCGGAUUUAUUGGGCGUAAAGAGCUCGUAGGCGGUUUGUCGCGUCGUCCGUGAAAACUCACAGCUUAACUGUGAGCUUGCGGUCGAUACGGGCAGGCUAGAGUUCGGUAGGGGAGACUGGAAUUCCUGGUGUAGCGGUGAAAUGCGCAGAUAUCAGGAGGAACACCGGUGGCGAAGGCGGUCUGCUGGGCAGUUGCUGACACUGAGGCGCGACAGCGUGGGGAGCAAACAGG